rnacentral:rRNA from 1 species
GACGAACGCUGGCGGCGUGCUUAACACAUGCAAGUCGAACGGUGAUGCGGAGCUUGCUCCGCGGAUCAGUGGCGAACGGGUGAGUAACACGUGAGUAACCUGCCCUUGACUCUGGGAUAAGCGUUGGAAACGACGUCUAAUACUGGAUACGACCCCUUCAGGCAUCUGGUGGGGGUGGAAAGAGUUUCGGUCGAGGAUGGACUCGCGGCCUAUCAGCUUGUUGGUGAGGUAAUGGCUCACCAAGGCGACGACGGGUAGCCGGCCUGAGAGGGUGACCGGCCACACUGGGACUGAGACACGGCCCAGACUCCUACGGGAGGCAGCAGUGGGGAAUAUUGCACAAUGGGCGCAAGCCUGAUGCAGCAACGCCGCGUGAGGGAUGACGGCCUUCGGGUUGUAAACCUCUUUUGGCAGGGAAGAAGCGAAAGUGACGGUACCUGCAGAAAAAGCACCGGCUAACUACGUGCCAGCCGCCGCAGUAAGAC